rnacentral:rRNA from 1 species
AGCAGCCGCGGUAAUUCCAGCUCCAAUAGCGUAUAUUAAAGUUGUUGCAGUUAAAAAGCUCGUAGUUGAAUUUCGGGAUCGAAUUGUCGGUCGUGCUUCGGUACGCACUGGCAUUAUCGGUUCCUACCUUCUGAAGAGCCGCGAUGUCAUUAAUUUGGUGUCGUGGGGAAUCAGGACUGUUACUUUGAAAAAAUUAGAGUGUUUAAAGCAGGCUUACGCUUGAAUACAUUAGCAUGGAAUAAUGAAAUAGGACGUUUGAUUCUAUUUUGUUGGUUUCUAGGAUCGACGUAAUGAUUAAUAGGGAUAGUUGGGGGCAUUAGUAUUCAAUUGUCAGAGGUGAAAUUCUUGGAUUUAUUGAAGACUAACUACUGCGAAAGCAUUUGCCAAGGAUGUUUUCAUUAAUCAAGAACGAAAGUUAGGGGAUCGAAGACGAUCAGAUACCGUCGUAGUCUUAACCAUAAACUAUGCCGACUAGGGAUCGGAUGAUGUUAAUUUUAUAAUGACUC